rnacentral:rRNA from 1 species
AGCGAACGCUGGCGGCAGGCUUAACACAUGCAAGUCGAACGGGCGUAGCAAUACGUCAGUGGCAGACGGGUGAGUAACGCGUGGGAACGUACCUUUUGGUUCGGAACAACCCAGGGAAACUUGGGCUAAUACCGGAUAAGCCCUUACGGGGAAAGAUUUAUCGCCGAAAGAUCGGCCCGCGUCUGAUUAGCUAGUUGGUGUGGUAACGGCGCACCAAGGCGACGAUCAGUAGCUGGUCUGAGAGAUGAUCAGCCACAUUGGGACUGAGACACCGGACCCAAACUCCGUACGGGAGGCAGCAGGU